rnacentral:lncRNA from 1 species
GAGGCCCGGCGUCGGCGACUCAACGGCAGCAAGUACAACUCACAAGGACAAGGUAGAAGACAGCUUGGUGUCGUCGAAUCGAUGACCUCAAGGGCGGUAGCGGGAGAGAGAGACAUAGGGAUAGGGUUGAUUAUCUUAUUGGGUUUCCGGGAAAUCAUUUCACCAAACAAGAUAUACCAUGAAAAUGGGCUCAUCUAAAAACAAAAAAAAAGGCCCAACAAAAAAGUCUUGCAGGCUAGAAACUUUUUUAAAAAUUUGGCCCAAAAAUUCACCUCCCUUCUUCUUCCAGCUUCCACUCUACGUUCUUGUUUAUGGGACUGCAACAAUGGCGAUUUCAGGCUACUGACUACAUCCAACCUUAUUUUGGUAGCAGGCAAGGCAGCGGCACUUCGAUUGCCAGAAAUCCCAGUGCAGGCACUAUCUUCAACUCUACCUGAAAAGUUUAGUGGCGAAAAUUCCAGUGCGGGCACCGGCCUGCACUGGUCCUUAACUGGCUCCGCCCCUG